rnacentral:rRNA from 1 species
UACGUAGGGGGCAAGCGUUGUCCGGAUUUAUUGGGCGUAAAGAGCGUGUAGGCGGUUUGGUAGGUCCGCUGUGAAAACUCGAGCUCAACCUCGAGACGCCGGUGGAAACCAUCAGACUAGAGUCCGGAAGAGGAGAGUGGAAUUCCUGGUGUAGCGGUGAAAUGCGCAGAUAUCAGGAAGAACACCCGUGGCUAAGGCGGCUCUCUAGUACGGUACUGACGCUGAGACGCGAAAGCGUGGGGAGCGAACAGG